UACGUAGGGUGCAAGCGUUACUCGGAAUUACUGGGCGUAAAGCGUGCGCAGGCGGUUAUGUAAGGCAGGGGUGAAAUCCCCGGGCUUAACCUGGGAACUGCAUUUGUGACUGCAUAGCUAGAGUACGGUAGAGGGGGAUGGAAUUCCGCGUGUAGCAGUGAAAUGCGUAGAUAUGCGGAGGAACACCGAUGGCGAAGGCAAUCCCCUGGACCUGUACUGACGCUCAUGCACGAAAGCGUGGGGAGCAAACAGG
rnacentral:rRNA from 1 species